rnacentral:sRNA from 1 species
CACACACACACACACACACACUGAGUUUAGGAUAUCAACCCAAUAACCGACAAUCAAUUCACAUUGACCAUUCCAUCAUGAACCUGGAUCAUGAAUCCUCACAUCCACAUUUCUUUAGCGUUCUUGUCUUCCAUGGACCUACCAACAGCUCAUUCAUUAAACCUCAAUCACUCAGUGGCUUUUCUAAGACCAAAGCACCAAACUUGUCCACAUUCCAGCCACAAAACAAUUCCAAAGGCCCAAGAUCCAAGCAGUCAGAUGUACCCCAGCAAAGGGCCAUGUCCUGGUACCAAUCUUAGGUUCUUUUCCCGAUGUUGUCGUAAAAUACUCUGACGAAAGCAACUGUAAAGGAAAAGGGCUUUAGUUUAGCUUCGAAUUCUAGGUUACAGUUCAGCACGGUGGGAAAGGAAGCCAAAGCACCAGGAGCUUAAAGCAGCUAAGUCCCAUUCCAUCCAGUCAGAAGAGGAACGAAUAUACGCUGUCUCUUAGCUCCUCUUCUCUACUCAUAUAGUCUGGGAAUAGUUCUGUUCACAACCAACGCGGAUGUUCCUACAUCUAUGUAAUCUAUGUAAUCAUGAGACAACCCCCCACACACACACACAGGCAUGCCACAGGCACAUCUUCCAGACAAUUGAUUUAAUGGUAAAGUUAAUUUAAAGAUAUUAAUCAUUACAGUACCUCUAUUUUUUACGUGUAAGAAUGUGUGUGGAUGAUGUGCAUGGAGGCCCAAGGUUGACAUUUGAUAGGCUCCUCAUUGCUCUCCGUGCUAUUCACUGAGAUGGGGUUUCUUAACUGGACCAGAGCUCACUGAUACAGGCUGCCCACUCUGGGGACUCCAUCUCUACCUUCUGAGCCCCAGAAUUACAGGCAGGCCACCACACCUGCCUGUCACAUCCAUCCACAUGGAUUCUGACGAUCUGAACCUUUGUCCUCAUGUUUCAGCGGCAAGUGCUUUAUCCACUAAGCUGUCACCUCAGCCUCUAUGUGCGUUUUGAUUGCUGUUUCGGCUGAAAACAACAUUUUCUACCUACUCAAACAAGGAACUGGGUAAUUUUGAAGUUCUCCCCCUUUUUCUAACCCUCAGCAGUCAACUAAUAACCAAGGGUCAUUUAUUUAUUCAGUGAGAUGGGGUCUUGCUAUAUAUCCCAGGAUGGUGUCACCUUUAUGGCAGUCCUGCCUCUACCCCCCAGAUACUGUGCUGUUAGGCAUGUGCCAACACGCCUGGCUGGUUCACUGAGUGCCACUGGCAAUGCCUGCAGGACGGCUCCUCAGCACUCUGUCCUUGUCACAUCUGCUGUUGCUAUCUUUGUUCAUGCUUUUAAGACCUCUUCUCUGGCCGCUGAGCAGAACGUAAGAUUGUUCUGCCCUCAUCAGUAGGAGUGGGCAUUGUAGUCCAGCUGCUCCAGGGUCAGGAAGUAGGGGCAGAGGAAGGAUAAGGCCUAGGUAAGAGUAUAAUUCACUCUCACUCUUGGUACUUGAACCUUAAAGUGCAUACCACCCCCACACUUGAGAGAGUGCUAAGGUUGACUGGGCUGAGCAUACGUAUAAUAGUAUUACUGGAGCACUGUCCCCUGCAGUCUACCAAACUAUUUUUUGGUCUCCAACUUUGCCAGUGAAUCAGGCAGUAGAUCAGGUGUGAACCUGUUAGAAAUCUGGCUCUGUUCAAUGGUACAAGUAUUCUGUCAAUAUUCUAUUAAAAUAAACAAAUAAAUGAGUAAGACAAAUAAAAUAAUUGCUCUCCCUUUCAGGUUUUAGUUAGUUAGUUGUACUACAGAGGACAACAAACUACACCAUGGACUAGUGAGAGGUAAGAGGAGUAAUCACAGAGGAGGAAGGGCAUGAGCUUAAAGAAAUUAUUCUGACGUAGGAAGGCAGUGGGUGGAUGACUAAAGGUCAUGUCAAGUAUUUCUGGGGAAAAGACCUCUGAGUUUGGGCCUGGAGGAAUGGGUCUCUGCUGAAAGGCAGUCAUACAGCUGAAAAAUCCAGUUAGCAGAAUCCACAUACAACUUAGCAGCACACAUCGUUUGGUGGUUUUAUGUCUCGGGUACUGCUAUUCUUUAUAUGCUCUGCAUGCCGUCCCUUCUAAUACAGCUGCGUUAUGUGAUAGGUUCUAUUAUCAUUACCAUUUAUGUGUGCGGAAACUGGGAAAAGAUGGUCUAAGCUGCUCAAUAUAGGAGGUGACACGGCUGCGAUUUAAACCUACACAGUGGCUUCAGAGUCCUUGUUUUUAAGCCUCAUGUUGGGGAAGACCAACUGAAUGUGCCAUUGACAGUUACACACACACACACACACACACACACACACACACACACACACACACUGUCUAGGAACUUCCAAACCCUGGGUUGUUGAUGCUUGUAGGGGCAUGAAAGACAUACACUAGAGAAGAGUGCUAGUAAGAGUUGAGAGGGAUGGAUUCUAGAGUCUGCUUGUCCUGUUAGCUGUACCUGCCAGCUCACAGCCGUGGGGAGGACCUCUGAGGUGAAGGAGGCAACAGCAGUUAGGAUGGAUUAGGCAAACAGUAAGGGGUUCACCAGUAGUUUAAGGGAGUUGUGGAUGGAGGAGAUAAAAUCUUCAAUGAAGUUGAUUCUGACAGCAUCCCAAAGGCUUGGAGCUACCUUGGUCUGCUUUGUCACAACCGGAAGAAUCAUGGAGACACACAAGAGGUUAGGCCAGAUGCAAGGCAGAUAAAAGAUCCUCUGGGCCCAGAGUUCUCAAACAGCGUUGAGCCUCAAAAGAAGGGGAGAGAAACUGGUUCCAGAUGAAUAUACUUAUGCUACAGCUCCAGAAGGUCUAAUUGAGGAAUCUUCACUUCAGGAAUAAUGUGCAGGCGGUUUGCUGAUACUCCAUUAGAUCAUAUGCGAAGUGUGACUGGCUGUGUGGACCUGAUAGACAAGGCACCAGUGGGCACAGGCAAGCCCCAAGUCUAAUAGAAUGGUGCAUCUAGGAACAUAAAUCUUUGGGCUGUACCAUGAUAGGCUUGAAUCUUUGUGGGCUCUAUCUGCCUGCUGUCUAUGCUGUUGCUACAGGUUAAAUGGCUACAAUAUUAGGCUGGAACCAUUUCAAUUGCCUUCUGAUAGUCUAUAGUCUCCAUGUCUGCUCUUGCUGCUUCAGGAUGUAAUAGUUUGAGUUCUUAAGACCAAGCUGUCUCUCUCCCUUUAAAGGAAGCACUAUCUAGCUUCCAAGUAGUCUUGAUCACUAAGAACUCUGGUUAUCAUUUUGGGCAAUAAACCUUUGUUGGAACCAGCUUCCUAAAGAGUUGGUACCAGGGCAGGGAUCAAAGUACCCAGGUCCUCCUGGGAAAGGAUAGUACCCCUACCCUACAAAUUGGUAUUAGUCAAGAUUGCAAGCUAUCUUAGCUACUUUUGCAUUACUGUGACAAAACAUGAUUACUAAGGUAACUUAUAAAAUAAAGCAUUUAAUUUGGGACUCACAGCUCUAGAAGGUUAGUCUAUGACCAUCAUGGUACGGACCCGGGAGUAAGCAGACAUGGUACUGGAACAGUUGCUGAGAGCUUACAUCUGAUCCACACCAUGAUGCGGAAAGCCUAGGGGUAGCAUGGGCUUUUGAAACCUCAAAGCCUGUGCCUGAAGAUACUCCUUUUCCAACAAGGCCACACCUCCUAGCCAUUCCUAAAUAGUUAUACCAACUGAGGACCAAGUAUUCCAAUGUAUGGGCCCAUGAGGGUCAUUAUCAUCUAAACCAUGACAGAGGCCAAAGUAGAAAUAAAUGAGGGCCGUGAGUUAUUGGAAGGUCUUUUUUGUAUGAAUGCUUGAGGACUAAGUAGGACUAAAUCCUCUUUAUGUUAAGAGGACAGAUACUAGGGUGGUAGAGACACACGAGCAUCUCAGAGCUGCUGAUGCUUUCACUCCCUCAGGAAACUCCAUUUCACAAAGGUUAAUAUCUAGCUCAUGCAGCCUCUGCUGCACGCACGCGCGCACACACACAAACAUACAAAUGUAGCUCAGACUCUUUUCAUUCCUGAGUACCAGGCCCUGGAAAAGUGCUACUGUAAGCACUGUAUUAGCAGUGACUUAUAAAACCACUGCCCGGAGAAGCACACGUAUGUGAAGAGGGAGCCAGCAUCUCAUUUGCUGGAGGAAGGCACUAGUGAACUGUCUCUUCAUUCCCUUUUUUUUUUUUUUUUUUGGUUCUUUUUUUCCGGAGCUGGGGACCGAACCCAGGGCCUUGCGCUUCCUAGGUAAGCGCUCUACCACUGAGCUAAAUCCCCAGCCCCUCUUCAUUCCCUUUUAUCUUUCUUGAUCUAGAUAAAGUCUGCAAAGGCCACAAACUUACGAAUUGAUUAGGCAGUUCCAGAUCAAUGGAAAGGAUCUUCUGGAUAGUGAUUACACGUUAUAUUGAUGCAAAGACUCCACUUUUUCUUUUCAAAAAGCAGCUCAAGGCCAGGGUGAAAAGAUAGAAGAUCUGAUGAAACCAGUUCCAAGAUACUGUCCAAAACUUCGGUUUUAUAGAAGGCUUUGGUGUGAAGCUCAGAGAGCUCCUUUGCUGGCAAAUCCUCAAUACCAAGGCUGCUAACUGUCACUACUGUUAACUACAGGAUGGUUCAUAGUAUAUCGGUAGGUAGUUACCUUUAUUUGCUUCAAAAAUAUGAGUCAGAUUCUAGUAGAAUGAGGUUGGUUGGAAAGGGAAUUCUUUGUAAUAUUAGGCAUGUAGUAGGAGGGUAGAGAGUUGCUGGUAGCCAAACCCUGAAAUCAAACUCUGAUAUGGGUUCUAUAAAAGUCUAAUUUCAGCCGCAGGUGGCAUAUACACAAAGGGGAAAUGUAAGUUUACCAGGCCUGAUUCAGCUGCACAAGCAGUUACACCCACUGGACCAAGGACUGAGAGGUUGCUAAGAUGCCCUGAGUAGAAUCUAGUGUGGAUAUGAUAAAUGACUUUUAUCACUUACAUGCCAGGAUCUUUGAUAUAUUCUUUAAUGCAAUUAUCACACUGAAUCCUUAUAAUCCUAUGAAGCAGGUAAUAUUACUACCUACAAUUUAUGAGGACGUGGAGGCACAAUGCAGCUCAGGUGGGCUGUGCAUUCUUAGGUGCUGUGGUCGGAAUAGAUGGAACAUGGAUUCACUCUGAUAGUGUCUUCCCCAGUUCUGUAAGCACUGCAAGAACACACCUUCUCCGUUGGAGGAUAGGGGAGAGUACAGUAGGAACAAAGCAUGCCUUGGCUGGUUGUUCUGGUGGCCAGCUCAAUAGUUUUGUUAUGGAGAAGCUGGUCCUUAUUGGCUGGAUAAAUAUCAAUAGGACUGUCUGUCUGCUCACUGAUUUCCAAUGGUAAUGCGCUUAUUCUGCAGGUGCCAGCAUGGGAAAGGACUGAGUGACAAGGGACAAGGACAUGCCAUCCAUGGAUGAAAUACGGUGUCUGGCUUUGCUGAGGAGACAACAUGGCUGAAUUGGCAUACCAGUCUCCUUUUUACGCUGUUAUCUACAUGUUGGCAGCUCGGCUAUCAAAUAGUCAGAAUUUGGAGCCAGAGAACUGAAUUCCUUUCCUAACUCUAUACUUCCUGGUUCUGUAACUUCAGGUAAGCUGACGUUUCUGAAUCUCAGCUUUCUCACUUAUAAAAUGAGUCAACUUAGUGGACCUUAUGUAGAAAUGGGAUGAUAACACAUAACAAAGUUCUUGGACAACUAUCAUCAAUAUUAGUAUAAAAAGUAGGGAAAUUGGACUUUAGAUUGGGGGUAUAGCUCAGACAUACAAAAUCUACAUGUAAAAGGCUGUAUGGUUGAUUCCCACCCUCCUCCAAACAUAUAAAGGUAACGUAUUAGAGAGGGCAGCAAAUAUCUCUACUCAUAGCACUUGAGAGUGUGAGGCCAGCCUGGGUUACAUUUCAAGCUCCAGAUCAAACUGAGUUCUAUAAGACCCUGACUCAAAAAAAGAGAAGUCAAAUAUAAAAAGGUUUUAUUUAUUGGGGUGUAUGGUAUGAUCAUGCAUGCAUGGGGGUUUGCAAGUCUGUACAUGUACAGAGGCCAGAGAAGGAUGUCACAUGUUCUGCUCUAUAAUUCUCAUGCAUAUACACUUGAGCCAAGAGUCCUUCGUUGAAUGUGAACAUGGAUUUAGAUUGGUAAUCAGCAAGCCCCAGCAAGGAUUCUGACUCUUGUCUACCCCUGCCAAGACAUUGAGUUUACAGAAUAUACUUAAGACGAGCACAAAUUCUCAAAAUCGCCAAGAUUCGAAGCUACCCAGCCUUCUUAAAACAAAUGAUGGAAUUACUCUCGCCUAACAGUUCGUGGUCCAGGACUUCAAUGAUACCCUCCUACUGGAAACUCCACUCAUUUCUUCGUCAAUCCUUCCCAUCCCCCGCCCCCCGCCCCCACUCGAGCGUUGGAUGCCCUGCUGCGCUCCCUGAAGAUCCAACCCAUUGGCAAUCACCACUCCUCAGACAAGCCUUAAAUGCACCGCUUCUCCCCUUCACACAACUACUACUUCAGACUGACUACCAUCAACUCAGAGUAAACACUGCUGAGUCCCUCUCAGACAAGCAAAGUUUCUUGGAAGAAGCAGAGACCAGCCAAAAUGCCUUGAAGAAUCAAAGCUAGCUGAGCCACCUGGAAAGGACACUCUCCAACUUGUUGAGCUGCCUAAAAGCUGUGCAGUGUGCUCUAGAUUUUCAGACUUGGUGAACUGUCACCCAUGCUGGUGUGGGCUUUGGUGAUGCAGCUUUCUUUGAGUCAUUGCUGGUCCUAUAAAUAACCGCAAUAAAACUCAGUGGCUCACACAGUUUGACUUUUGUGGUAUCUGUACUCUGGUCUAUUGUGGGCUCCCUAUCUACCAUGAGUAGACUGUUUAUUGUGUAUUCCCAGGAAAAGUUUGUCACGCAACAAGUGUAUAUGUGUGUUUUUGUAAGCAUAACUUCUCAGGUGCCAUUCACCUAUUAUUUUUUUGAGACAUGGUAUCUCUUUGCAGCACCGGAGUGAAAUUCUUUUUAAAAAAUUAAAUCAUAAAUUGGGAUUGUGGAGGUAGCUCAGUCAGUAAAGUGUUUGCUGGACAAUCAUGAUGACCUGAUUUCAGAUCCCAAGCACCCACAUAAAAGCCAGCUGACUGCAUCUCUGUGCUAGGGAUAGAGAAAUAGGCAGAUCUCCUUGAGUGCAGGUUCGACGGGAGAGACUUUGUCUCUCAAAGAAGGUGGAAAGUGAUUGAAGCAGACACCUAGUGCCAAUCUCUGGCUUCCACACAUGCACACACGUGUACUAAUGCCCACCUCAGAGGAGGUUAAGGAAAGGGGAGAAACGGAGAGAGAGAGGAAGAGUUUGUUUUCACAAAUUGGAUGUAAAUUAAGACCUGUUCUAUACCAUGGUGAAGAUCUUUGAGUUGGAAGAAAAAUAAUUUUUGAGAUUCCUCCAUGUGGAUAUUAUGAGGAGGUAGGUAGUUUGUCUCCAGAAAGGAGACGAAAGAGAGACACUGAGUUAGAAAAAGAUCAGAGGGCCGGAUUUUAAUAAGGGUUACUAUACACAUUAUAUAUAUUGCAAAAACAGCCAAAGAUCCUUUCCCAGUAAGAAACUUUAUACUGGGAUAAACAGGCAAUAGGAGAUGUGAUGUCCCUAAACAAUUACUUGAGUGACUUUCUCUCAUUGCCAAAGGUAAUGUUGGAACUUGCGAAGUCAGAAUGGACAGGACACUUUCUUUUGUGGCUUUCCCUUUGCUGGCAGAGGCAUGAA